GACGUAGGUGGCGAGCGUUAUUCGGAAUCACUAGGCGUAAAGCGCGUGUAGGCGGGUGCUUAAGUCCGCUGUGAAAUCUCCCGGCUCAACUGGGAGAGGUCAGCGGAUACUGGGCGCUGGAGUGGGGCAGGGGUCACUGGAAUUCAGGUGUAGCGGUGAAAUGCGUAGAUAUCUGGAGGAACACCAAUGGCGAAGGCAGGUGACUGGGGCC
rnacentral:rRNA from 1 species